GGAGUUUUGCGCAAUGGGAGAAAUCCUGACGCAGCAACGCCGCGUGGGUGAGGAAGGCCUUCGGGUUGUAAAGCCCUUUCAGCAGGGAAGAAACAAAUGACGGUACCUGUAGAAGAAGCACCGGCUAACUCCGUUCCAGCAGCCGCGGUAAUACGGAGGGUGCAAGCGUUACUCGGAAUUACUGGGCGUAAAGCGCGCGUAGGCGGUUUGGUAAGUCUGAUGUGAAAUCCCACGACUCAAUCGUGGAAGUGCAUUGGAUACUGCCAGACUGGAGUGCAGGAGGGGUGAGCGGAAUUCCAGGUGUAGAGGUGAAAUUCGUAGAUAUCUGGAGGAACAACGGUGGCGAAGGCGGCUCACUGGACUGUAACUGACGCUGAGGCGCGAAAGCGUGGGGAGCG
rnacentral:rRNA from 1 species